rnacentral:rRNA from 1 species
UACGGGGGGUGCAAACGUUGCUCGGAAUUAUUGGGCGUAAAGCGCACGUAGGCGGUCCUGUAAGUCGGGUGUGAAAGCCCCAGGCUUAACCCUGGGAAGUGCACUCGAAACUGUAGGGCUUGAGUAUGGAAGAGGGUCUCGGAAUUCCCGGUGUAGAGGUGAAAUGCGUAGAUAUCGUAAGGAAGACCAGUGGCGAAGGCGGGCUCGUCUGG